rnacentral:rRNA from 1 species
CCUACGGGGGGCAGCAGUGAGGAAUAUUGGUCAAUGGCCGAGAGGCUGAACCAGCCAAGUCGCGUGAGGGAUGACGGCCCUACGGGUUGUAAACCUCUUUUGUCGGGGAGCAAGACCCGCCACGAGUGGCGGAGCGAGAGUACCCGAAGAAAAAGCAUCGGCUAACUCCGUGCCAGCAGCCGCGGUAAUACGGAGGAUGCGAGCGUUAUCCGGAUUUAUUGGGUUUAAAGGGUGCGCAGGCGGAAGAUCAAGUCAGCGGUAAAAUUGAGAGGCUCAACCUCUUCGAGCCGUUGAAACUGGUUUUC